rnacentral:lncRNA from 1 species
GGGGAAAGCUGUUGCCAAGGAGGAAUAGGGAGAAGUACUUGAGCAGAAUGCAGACGGAGUGGAAACUCUCCGUGAGCCAAAGCAAUUUCUCACCAGUUUCCUCAAAGCUGCAAGAAUGUACCAGAAAGAUCCAUCAGCACAACUCAUAUAGCAUCUUGAGAACACUACAGCCUGUUUUUCUCCAGUGCUUUUUAGCAGAAGACAAAAUGCAGCAGUCUUUUUUUUUUUUUUUUUGAAGCUUUUGUUCUGAGCCGUUUACACAAAUACUUUUCUAUUGUGUGUCUUCAAAUCUCUGGAUGUUGGUCCUCAUAAUUCACCAGAACAGGAAUAGAGCUUUAAUUAUCCAGAAGUGUUAAGGAAUAAUCUACCUAGUAUAGAUCAUGAAGAAGAUGAUAAAGGACUAAUAUAGAUGUGUAUCUACGUAUUAGGGUUGCUUCAAAAGUAGUGCAUUCCAUUUCGUUUUGUUGGCUUGCAGUGUCAAAGGCAGUUGUUGUUGGUAUGGCAGCAGAGGUUAAACCUUCU